rnacentral:rRNA from 1 species
UGGGGAUUAUUGCACAAUGGGCGCCAGCCUGAUGCAGCCAUGCCGCGUGUGUGAAGAAGGCCUUCGGGUUGUAAAGCACUUUCAGCGGGGAGGAAGGCGUUAAGGUUAAUAACCUUGGCGAUUGACGUUACCCGCAGAAGAAGCACCGGCUAACUCCGUGCCAGCAGCCGCGGUAAUACGGAGGGUGCAAGCGUUAAUCGGAAUUACUGGGCGUAAAGCGCACGCAGGCGGUCUGUCAAGUCGGAUGUGAAAUCCCCGGGCUCAACCUGGGAACUGCAUUCGAAACUGGCAGGCUAGAGUCUUGUAGAGGGGGGUAGAAGGCAAGGUGUAGCGGGGAAAGGCGUAGAGAGCUGGAGGAAUACCGGUGGCGAAGGCGGCCCCCUGGACAAAGACUGACGCUCAGGUGCGAAAGCGUGGGGAGCAAACAGG